UUUUACGGAGAGUUUGAUCCUGGCUCAGGAUGAACGCUGGCGGCGUGCUUAACACAUGCAAGUCGAACGAUGAAGCCCAGCUUGCUGGGUGGAUUAGUGGCGAACGGGUGAGUAACACGUGAGUAACCUGCCCUUAACUCUGGGAUAAGCCUGGGAAACUGGGUCUAAUACCGGAUAGGAGCGUCCACCGCAUGGUGGGUGUUGGAAAGAUUUAUCGGUUUUGGAUGGACUCGCGGCCUAUCAGCUUGUUGGUGAGGUAAUGGCUCACCAAGGCGACGACGGGUAGCCGGCCUGAGAGGG
rnacentral:rRNA from 1 species